ensembl:Mt_tRNA
UAAAGGUUUAGGUUUAAACCAGACCAAAGGCCUUCAAAGCCUUAAGCAGGUGUUCAACCACCUAACCUUU